UAUUCUUGAUACGGAGUGUGGGAUUUUGGAGAAUAAAAGUUUUAUCCUUGCUUAAGAUAUUUAUUUUUAGUUUAUUUUCACAUGUACAUUUUUGUUUGAAUUUAUUUUUAAUCUAAAUGAUUAAAUUUUAAUUUAUUCGCAGUGGUUAAUUUUAAUUAUUAAAGAAAUUUAGAAUUAGUAAUGUUAAUUAUUAUUGGCAAAUUUCGUGCCAGCUGCCGCGGUUAUACGAAAAAUGUAAAUAAAUAUUAUUAGUGAAUAGUUAAUUAUUUUAUUUAAAUAAAAAUUUGUUUAAUUAAGUGAAAUUUUUUAAUAAAAAUUAUUUAAGAGUUUAAAAUGAAACUAUGAAAUUUAAUUAAUAAACUAGGAUUAGAUACCCUAUUAUUUUAAAUGUAAAUAAUUGAUACUAAAGUAGUAAUAGCUAUGUGCUUGAAACUUAAAGGAUUUGGCGGUAUUUUAGUCUGUUCAGAGGAACCUGUUCCGUAAUCGAUAAUCCACGUUAAAUCUUACUUAAUUUAGUUUUCAGUUUGUAUACCGUCGUCGUCAGAAUUUUUUAAAAGAAUUAUAAUUUUCUAGGUUUUAUUUUAGAAGUGAUGUCAGAUCAAGGUGCAGUUAAUAAUUAAGUGGAAAUGGGUUACAAUAAAUUUAUUUAUAUGAAUAAGAAAUUGAAAUAUUUUUUUUGAAAGUGGAUUUGAUAGUAAAUUAAUUGAUAAUUUUUAAUUGAUUUUAGCUCUAAAAUAUGCACAUAUCGCCCGUCGCUCUCGUUAUUUAAAUUGAGA
rnacentral:ncRNA from 1 species